rnacentral:rRNA from 1 species
GACGAACGCUGGCGGCGUGCUUAACACAUGCAAGUCGAACGCUGAAGCUUGGUGCUUGCACUGGGUGGAUGAGUGGCGAACGGGUGAGUAAUACGUGAGUAACCUGCCCUUGACUCUGGGAUAAGCCUGGGAAACUGGGUCUAAUACUGGAUACGACAUGUCACCGCAUGGUGGUGUGUGGAAAGGGUUUUACUGGUUUUGGAUGGGCUCACGGCCUAUCAGCUUGUUGGUGGGGUAAUGGCUCACCAAGGCGACGACGGGUAGCCGGCCUGAGAGGGUGACCGGCCACACUGGGACUGAGACACGGCCCAGACUCCUACGGGAGGCAGCAGUGGGGAAUAUUGCACAAUGGGCGGAAGCCUGAUGCAGCGACGCCGGGUGAGGGAUGACGGCCUUCGGGUUUUAAACCUCUUUCAGCACGGAAGAAGCGAAAGUGACGGUACGUGCAGAAGAAGCGCCGGCUAACUACGUG